rnacentral:rRNA from 1 species
AUUGAACGCUGGCGGCAGGCCUAACACAUCCAAGUCGAGCGGAGCGGCGGACGGGCGAGUAAUGCCUAGGAAUCUGCCUGGUAGUGGGGGCUAACGUCCGGAAACGGGCGCUAAUACCGCAUACUAUCAGAUGAGCCUAGGUCGGAUGAGCUAGUUGGUGGGGUAAAGGCCUACCAAGGCGACGAUCCGUAACUGGUCUGAGAGGAUGAUCAGUCACACGGGAACUGAUACACGGUCCACACUCCUACGGGAGGCCGCAGUGGGGAAUGUUGGACAAUGGGCGAAAGCCUGAUCCAGCCAUGCCGCGUGUGUGAAGAAGGUCUUCGGAUUGUAAAGCACUUUAAGUUGGGAGGCGUUACCAACAGAGUGAGCACCGGCUAACUACGUGCCAGCAGCCGCGGUAAUUC